AGAUGUGAGGGCAAUCUGGCUGCGAUAUCUGUUACUCCAUUGAUGGCCAGGGUUGAUCUUGCUGGCUAGGCGGUAUCUCCUUCCUCCCUCACUGCUCCAUGUGCAGCCCUCCUGAAGCUGUGUGCUCAGUCAAAGAGGACAACCAUGCCCGAUGGAGGAGGACCGAUCAUUGAUCAAGGGUGUACGAAUAGUUGCACUCCCCUGCUAGAACCUCCAAACAAGCUCUCAAGGUCCAUUGUAAAAGUACCCAGGAAUUGGGUGAGGUAGAAUGAAUACUUAUGAGUGAGUUGAACAGUGGUAGCUACCCUU
rfam:Tupaia chinensis contig211135, whole genome shotgun sequence.